rnacentral:rRNA from 1 species
UACGUAGGGUGCGAGCGUUAAUCGGAAUUACUGGGCGUAAAGCGUGCGCAGGCGGUUCGUUAAGUCAGAUGUGAAAGUCACAGGCUCAACCUGUGAAUGCCGCUGGAAACUGUCUGGCUAGAGUCCGGAAGGGGCGAGUGGAAUUCCUGGUGUAGCGGUGAAAUGCGCAGAUAUCAGGAGGAACACCGGUGGCGAAGGCGGGAUCCUGGGCCAGUACUGACGCUGAGGAGCGAAAGCGUGGGGAGCAAACAGG